ACUUUCAACAACGGAUCUCUUGGUUCUGGCAUCGAUGAAGAACGCAGCGAAAUGCGAUAAGUAGUGUGAAUUGCAGAAUUCAGUGAAUCAUCGAAUCUUUGAACGCACAUUGCGCCCUUUGGUAUUCCAAAGGGCAUGCCUGUUCGAGCGUCAUUUG
rnacentral:rRNA from 3 species